AUUGAACGCUGGCGGAAUGCUUUACACAUGCAAGUCGAACGGCAGCACGGACUUCGGUCUGGUGGCGAGUGGCGAACGGGUGAGUAAUGUAUCGGAACGUGCCCAGUCGUGGGGGAUAACGUAGUGUAAAUUACGCUAAUACCGCAUACGAUCUAUGGAUGAAAGCGGGGGAUCGCAAGACCUCGCGCGAUUGGAGCGGCCGAUAUCAGAUUAGGUAGUUGGUGGGGUAAAGGCCCACCAUGCCAACGAUCUGUAGCUGGUCUGAGAGGACGACCAGCCAAAGUGGAACUGAGACACGGUCCAGACUCCUACGGGAGGCAGCAGCGGGGAAUUUUGGACAAUGGGCGAAAGCCUGAUCCAGCCAUUCCGCGUGCAGGAUGAAGGCCCUCGGGUUGUAAACUGCUUUUGUACAGAACGAAAAGGUUUCUACUAAUACUAGGAGCUCAUGACGGUACUGUAAGAAUAAGCACCGGCUAACUACGUGCCAGCCGCCGCCGUAA
rnacentral:rRNA from 1 species